rnacentral:rRNA from 1 species
UACGUAGGGGGCAAGCGUUGUCCGGAAUCAUUGGGCGUAAAGCGCGUGUAGGCGGUCCGGUUAGUCGGCUGUGAAAGUCAAGGGCUCAACCCUUGAAUGCCGGUCGAUACUGCCGGACUAGAGUCCGGAAGAGGCAAGUGGAAUUCCCGGUGUAGCGGUGAAAUGCGCAGAUAUCAGGAGGAACACCGAUGGCGAAAGGC